GACGAACGCUGGCGGCGUGCUUAACACAUGCAAGUCGAACGGAGAGGCCCUGCUUUUGUGGGGUGCUCGAGUGGCGAACGGGUGAGUAACACGUGAGUAACCUGCCCUUGACUUUGGGAUAACUUCAGGAAACUGGGGCUAAUACCGGAUAGGAGCUCCUGCUGCAUGGUGGGGGUUGGAAAGUUUCGGCGGUUGGGGAUGGACUCGCGGCUUAUCAGCUUGUUGGUGGGGUAGUGGCUUACCAAGGCUUUGACGGGUAGCCGGCCUGAGAGGGUGACCGGCCACAUUGGGACUGAGAGACGGCCCAGACUCCAACGGGAGGCAGCAGUGGGGAAUAUUGCACAAUGGGCGGAAGCCUGAUGCAGCAACGCCGCGUGCGGGAUGACGGCCUUCGGGUUGUAAACCGCUUUCGCCUGUGACGAAGCGUGAGUGACGGUAAUGGGUAAAGAAGCACCGGCUAACUACGUG
rnacentral:rRNA from 1 species